AAUUCCGUAAAAGGAUAUGAGGAUGCUCAGUCCAUAAAAGGGUAUGAGGGUGCUCAGGACAUCCCCCCACCUCGCAGGCCUCUCCUGACAACAGUUCCUGGGAAAAUGGCUUGGAAGGCCAUAGAAUCCACAGUUUUGGGCUACACCCAUCCAGUGAGGAAUCGGUCCCAGCUGUUCUAACUAGGACACUGUGUCCAUCAUCGCUGCCAUCAUCAUCAUCAUCGGCCUCGUGGGAGUCGGUGUCUGGAAGCUCCGAUCCGGUAACUCCCGGGAUGGGGGUCGGGAAGGGGCACGGAUCCGCCCGGCAGCAUUCCGGGGAUCCUGUGCCACGGGUGCUGAUCCCGCUUUCUUUCCAUAGGGAAGAGGGAGGGGAAUGGAUACGACCCCGCGCCCACCACAGGAAUCACAGCCUGAGCGAUCCCGGAGCUGGAUCCGCCCCUUCCCUCUCCCUGUGGAAAGGCAGGAGCUGCUGGUAGAGCUCAUCCCGCUGCUCCCACCCACCCCGGCCCCCCUGCGGCUCUUCCCGAUGGAUCAACUUCCUGCUUUUUCCCGUGUGAAACCCAGGACCACAAUUAUUCCUGAGGCUUUAAUUUGGGUGUGAAAAUCUCCUGCUUUGGGCAAUAAAUCCUGGCUCCCUC